UACGUAUUGUGCGAGCGUUAAUCGGAAUUACUGGGCGUAAAGCGUGCGCAGGCGGCGGCUCAAGUCAGGUGUGAAAUCCCCGGGCUAAACCUGGGAAUUGCGCUUGAAACUAGGCUGCUUGAGUGUGGCAGAGGGGGGUGGAAUUCCACGUGUAGCAGUGAAAUGCGUAGAGAUGUGGAGGAACACCGAUGGCGAAGGCAGCCCCCUGGGUCAACACUGACGCUCAUGCACGAAAGCGUGGGGAGCAAACAGG
rnacentral:rRNA from 1 species